UUCGAGGCUGAGAAAACUGGUCAGAGGUGAUCCUGGAGCAAAGGGAGAGUUCCGGGUUGAGAUGGGAAUUGCAGGCAAACGCAGGGAGCAGAGCCAAGUCAUGAAGAGCUUGGAUCUGAUCCCGUGCCCGGUGGGGAAUCUUUGAGGCAGCAUUAAGGAGGGGAAAAUGGGAAGUUUGUACUCUAGAAAGCUUUCUUCGGCAGCCGUGUGGUGAAUGGGCUGAAUGAGAGUGAGGACAGUAAGAAAAGAUGGAAAACAGGGAAGUGAGGACUUAGAAAUGGGAUGUGCAGCAACCCGACUCUACAUUUUUGCAACAGGCAAGUGAAAUUUAGGAACAAAGAGAAUUUGCUGACAGUUUUCAGCUGUAGAGCAGAGACUUAUUCAUAUCAAGGUCCCAUUUAUUAGACCGACUCACAGCCCAGACUUGCAGUGGCCUUAGAGUGAAGUUCCUGCGUAUACCUGCCCUCAGAGACUGAAGAGCGAGUGUAUCACAGACUUGUGUUUACUGAUGCGGAAAUGCUGGUGACUAUUGGAGCAGCAUCUCCCAGGAUUGAGGAAACCAUAAUUUGAAGCUGAAUGAAGAAGAUCCAGGAAAGGACCCCAAGGAAUCACCUCCUUGCUAGACCACAAAGCCUGGAUGCCUGAAUCACCAGGUAGAGGAGGGCAGCCUGGGAGAUUUGUCUGCCUAGAAAUAUCAUGCACUG